rnacentral:rRNA from 1 species
UACGUAGGGUGCAAGCGUUGGCCGGAAUUAUUGGGCGUAAAGAGCUCGUAGGCGGUCUGUCGCGUCGGCUGUGAAAACCCGGGGCUCAACCCCGGGCCUGCAGUCGAUACGGGCAGACUAGAGUGCGGUAGGGGAGACUGGAAUUCCUGGUGUAGCGGUGAAAUGCGCAGAUAUCAGGAGGAACACCGGUGGCGAAGGCGGGUCUCUGGGCCUUACCUGACGCUGAGGAACGAAAGCGUGGGUAGCGAACAGG